rnacentral:rRNA from 1 species
ACGGGUGAGUAACGCGUAGGUAACCUGCCUGGUAGCGGGGGAUAACUAUUGGAAACGAUAGCUAAUACCGCAUAAAAUUGAUUAUUGCAUGAUAAUUAAUUGAAAGAUGCAACUGCAUCACUACCAGAUGGACCUGCGUUGUAUUAGCUAGUUGGUGAGGUAACGGCUCACCAAGGCGACGAUACAUAGCCGACCUGAGAGGGUGAUCGGCCACACUGGGACUGAGACACGGCCCAGACUCC